GUAUAGAUUUUAUUUAACAAUCUCCCAGUUUGCACAACUAUCCAAUCUUUGAAAUGUUUGAUUUUGUCUUCUAAUCUUUUAAUUUAUUUGAUUUGGGCAUGUUAAUAAUUUCUAAAUGCUGAUUUUCACUAAGUGAACUCUUUUUUAGUUUUACUUUUUAAUUUUAUUUACUUUCUUUAUUUUAUUUUUUAAUUUGUUAUUAUUAAUUUUUUUAUUUUAUUUUUCAGUAUAGUGGCUUGUAUCUUACUCGAGGCCGAGUUGUCUCAACUUCUGUAGCUGAAUUCAUUUUCUAUAUGAAUGAAGCGGGUAACGUGCUACCUUUCUCUCUCAAAAAAAAUAAUUUUUAAAUGCCAAAUUUUGAAUAAUUCGUUUAUAUUUAUGAAUUUAAUUAGUAUAUUUAUACAAUUUAUAUAACUAUAAAUUUAUUAAAAUAUCAAUUGAAAUAUUGUAUCAAAAGCAUCAUUAAAUGAAUGAAAGGUAUGGUAUUAAAAUAAAAUACUUUGAAGAAUUAAACAGUGAAAUCAAAAUGAUCCAUAAUUCUGACGAGUUUUACACAUUUUAUAAUUAAAUGUGCAAGCGAAUAAAUUUUUCUAGUCUUAACAUAAGGAGAGAGUUCAUGCAAAGAUAACAUUAUUCUUUUCCAUUCAAUAACUAAAAACAAAAUCCAUAUUUCAAUCUCAAGAACAAUUGAUCUGCGAACUCGCAGGUUUCAACGGGUAUGGAUUCUCCCAAGCGUAGUUAAACUUGAUCGGAUCGUCCUCAAACACC
rnacentral:lncRNA from 1 species